UACGGGGGGGGCAAGCGUUGUUCGGAAUUACUGGGCGUAAAGGGCGCGUAGGCGGCCCUCUAAGUCGGAUGUGAAAUCCCCAGGCUCAACCUGGGAACUGCAUCCGAUACUGGAUGGCUUGAAUCCGGGAGAGGGAUGCAGAAUUCCAGGUGUAGCGGUGAAAUGCGUAGAUAUCUGGAGGAAUACCGGUGGCGAAGGCGGCAUCCUGGACCGGCAUUGACGCUGAGGAGCGAAAGCGAGGGGAGCAAACGGG
rnacentral:rRNA from 1 species